CCUACGGUGGCUGCAGUGGGGAAUUUUGGACAAUGGGGGCAACCCUGAUCCAGCCAUUCCGCGUGAGUGAAGAAGGCCUUCGGGUUGUAAAGCUCUUUUGUCCGGAGCGAAACGGGCGGCCCUAAUACGGUCGUCUACUGACGGUACCGGAAGAAUAAGCACCGGCUAACUACGUGCCAGCAGCCGCGGUAAUACGUAGGGUGCGAGCGUGAAUCGGAAUUGCUGGGCGGCGAGUUUGCGCGCCCGAUGUGAAAUCCCCGGGCUCAACCUGGGAAUGGCAUUUGGGACUGCAAGGCUGGAGUGUGGCAGAGGGGACUAGAAUUCCUGGUGUAGCAGUGAAAUGCGUAGAUAUCAGGAGGAAUACCGAUGGCGAAGGCAGGUCCCUGGGUUAACACUGACGCUCAUGCACGAAAGCGUGGGGAGCAAACAGGAUUAGAUACCCGAGUAGUC
rnacentral:rRNA from 1 species